rnacentral:rRNA from 1 species
UACGAAGGGUGCAAACGUUGCUCGGAAUCAUUGGGCGUAAAGCGCACGUAGGCGGCAUUCUAAGUCGGAUGUGAAAUCCCUCGGCUCAACCGAGGACGUGCAUCCGAAACUGGAACGCUCGAGUAUGGAAGAGGGUCGCGGAAUUCUCGGUGUGGAGGUGAAAUUCGUAGAUAUCGGGAGGAACACCAGUGGCGAAGGCGGCGACCUGGGCCAAUACUGACGCUGAGGUGCGAAAGCGUGGGGAGCAAACAGG